GAUGAACGCUAGCGAUAGGCUUAACACAUGCAAGUCGAGGGGUAACGUGUUGGAAGCUUGCUUCCGAUGACGACGACCGGCGGAUGGGUGCGUAACGCGUAUGCAACUUGCCUCACAGAGGAGAAUAACCCGGAGAAAUCCGGACUAAUGCUCCAUACACUCUUGAGUACGCCUGUACAUGAGAGGAAAGAUUUAUCGCUGUGAGAUAGGCAUGCGUCCUAUUAGGUAGUUGGUGAGGUAACGGCUCACCAAGCCGACGAUAGGUAGGGGGACUGAGAGGUUGACCCCCCACACUGGUACUGAGACACGGACCAGACUCCUACGGGAGGCAGCAGUGAGGAAUAUUGGUCAAUGGGCGAGAGCCUGAACCAGCCAAGUCGCGUGAAGGAAGACGGUUCAUAAGGAUUGUAAACUUCUUUUGCAGAGGAGUAACGAUAGGCACGUGUGCCUGUGUGAACGUACUCUGCGAAUAAGUAUCGGCUAACUCCGUGCCAGCAGCCGCGGUAAAAGGGCGAAUUCG
rnacentral:rRNA from 1 species